CCUACGGGUGGCAGCAGUGAGGAAUAUUGGUCAAUGGACGAGAGUCUGAACCAGCCAAGUAGCGUGAAGGAUGACUGCCCUAUGGGUUGUAAACUUCUUUUAUAUGGGAAUAAAAUGUUCCACGUGUGGGAUUUUGUAUGUACCAUAUGCAUAAGGAUCGGCUAACUCCGUGCCAGCAGCCGCGGUAAUACGGAGGAUCCGAGCGUUAUCCGGAUUUAUUGGGUUUAAAGGGAGCGUAGGUGGAUUGUUAAGUCAGUUGUGAAAGUUUGCGGCUCAACCGUAAAAUUGCAGUUGAAACUGGCAGUCUUGAGUACAGUAGAGGUGGGCGGAAUUCGUGGUGUAGCGGUGAAAUGCUUAGAGAUCACGAAGAACUCCGAUUGCGAAGGCAGUUCACUGGACUGCAACUGACACUGAGGCUCGAAAGUGUGGGUAUCAAACAGGAUUAGAUACCCGGGUAGUC
rnacentral:rRNA from 1 species